rnacentral:rRNA from 1 species
CUACGUGCCAGCAGCCGCGGUAAUACGUAGGGUGCGAGCGUUAAUCGGAAUUACUGGGCGUAAAGCGAGCGCAGACGGUUACUUAAGCAGGAUGUGAAAUCCCCGGGCUCAACCUGGGAACUGCGUUCUGAACUGGGUGACUAGAGUGUGUCAGAGGGAGGUAGAAUUCCACGUGUAGCAGUGAAAUGCGUAGAGAUGUGGAGGAAUACCGAUGGCGAAGGCAGCCUCCUGGGAUAACACUGACGUUCAUGCUCGAAAGCGUGGGUAGCAAACAGGAUUAGAUACCCUGGUAGUCCACGCCCUAAACGAUGUCAAUUAGCUGUUGGGCAACUUGAUUGCUUAGUAGCGUAGCUAACGCGUGAAAUUGACCGCCUGGGGAGUACGGUCGCAAGAUUAAAACUCAAAGGAAUUGACGGGGACCCGCACAAGCGGUGGAUGGUGUGGAUUAAUUCGAUGCAACGCGAAGAACCUUACCUGGUCUUGACAU